rnacentral:rRNA from 1 species
GAUCAUGGCUCAGAUUGAACGCUGGCGGAAUGCUUUACACAUGCAAGUCGAGCGGCAGCGCGGGGGCAACCCUGGCGGCGAGCGGCGAACGGGUGAGUAACAUAUCGGAACGUACCCAGUCUGGGGGAUAACUAUCCGAAAGGAUAGCUAAUACCGCAUACGUCCUGAGGGAGAAANCGGGGGAUCGCAAGACCUCGCGCGAUUGGAGCGGCCGAUAUAGGAUUAGCUUGUUGGUGGGGUAAAGGCCUACCAAGGCGACGGUCCUUAGCUGGUCUGAGAGGAUGAUCAGCCACACUGGGACUGAGACACGGCCCAGACUCCUACGGGAGGCAGCAGUGGGGAAUAUUGGACAAUGGGCGAAAGCCUGAUCCAGCAAUGCCGCGUGAGUGAUGAAGGCCUUAGGGUUGUAAAGCUCUUUUACCAGGGAUGAUAAUGACAGUACCUGGAGAAUAAGCUCCGGCUAACUCCGUG